UGGGGAAUAUUGCACAAUGGAGGGAACUCUGAUGCAGCGACGCCGCGUGAACGAAGAAGGCUUUCGAGUCGUAAAGUUCUUUUAUAUGGGAAGAUAAUGACGGUACCAUAAGAAAAAGCCCCGGCUAACUACGUGCCAGCAGCCGCGGUAAUACGUAGGGGGCUAGCGUUGUCCGGAAUCACUGGGCGUAAAGGGUUCGCAGGCGGAAAUGCAAGUCAGGUGUAAAAGGCAGUAGCUUAACUACUGUAAGCAUUUGAAACUGCAUAUCUUGAGAAGAGUAGAGGUAAGUGGAAUUUUUAGUGUAGCGGUGAAAUGCGUAGAUAUUAAAAAGAAAACCGGUGGCGAAGGCGACUUACUGGGCUCAUUCUGACGCUGAGGAACGAAAGCGUGGUUAGCAAACAGG
rnacentral:rRNA from 1 species